UACGGAGGUGGCAAGCGUUGUUCGGAUUUAUUGGGUGUAAAGGGUAUGUAGGUUUCCUGAUAAGUCGAAUGUGAAAUCCCUUGGCUCAACCAAGGAACUGCGUUCGAUACUGUCAGGAUUGAGCACGAAAGAGGAGAGCGGAAUUCCCGGUGUAAGGGUGAAAUCUGUAGAUAUCGGGAGGAACACCAGUGGCGAAAGCGGCUCUCUGGUUCGAGGCUGACACUGAAAUACGAAAGCAAGGGGAGCAAACAGGAUUAGAUACCCCGGUA
rnacentral:rRNA from 1 species